CGGAGUGUAGCGCAGGCUGGUAGCGCAUCUGGUUUGGGACCAGAGGGUCGGGAGUUCGAAUCUCUCCACUCCGACCA
rnacentral:tRNA from 90 species